rnacentral:rRNA from 1 species
AGCAGCCGCGGUAAUUCCAGCUCCAAUAGCGUAUAUUAAAGUUGCUGCAGUUAAAAGCUCGUAGUUGAAUUUCGGGACUAAUAUGUCGGUCGUGCCUCGGUACGUACUGGUUUAUUGGUUUCCCCUUUCUGAAGAACCAUGAUGUCAUUUAUUUGGUGUCGUGGGGAAUCAGGACUGUUACUUUGAAAAAUUAGAGUGGUUAAAGCAGGCUCACGCUUGAAUACAUUAGCAUGGAAUAAUGAAAUAGGACGUUUGAUUCUAUUUUGUUGGUUUCUAGGACCGACGUAAUGAUUAAUAGGGAUAGUUGGGGGCAUUAGUAUUCAAUUGUCAGAGGUGAAAUUCUUGGAUUUAUUGAAGACUAACUACUGCGAAAGCAUUUGCCAAGGAUGUUUUCAUUAAUCAAGAACGAAAGUUAGGGAUCGAAGACGAUCAGAUACCGUCGUAG